AUUUUAGGAGGUGGAAGACCUGGAUGCUUCAUACUUUGUAUAUAGAUGCUUCAUGUUACAAAGUUUCCGUCAGUCACAUGUCCAAUGUCCUUGACCUCAUUUUCAUGGUUCAGUGACCACUUGAAAAAAAAGUUCAAAUUUUUUGUAAUGUUGAAUUCUCUCUUAUUAUAAGUAAUAGGAUAACUAUAUUUGAUAUGUGCGUACCUUGCAAGGUCCUCAUGUCUGUCAGACAGUUUUCACUUGACCUCGACCUCAUUUCAUGGAUCAGUGAACAAGGUUAAGUUUUGGUGGUCAAGUCCAUAUCUCAGAUACUAUAACCAAUAGGGCUAGUAUAUUCAGUGUAUGGAAGGACUGUAAGGUGUACAUGUCCAACUGACAGGUGUCAUCUGACCUUGAACUCAUUUUCAUGGUUCAGUGGUUUUAGUUAAAUUUUUGUGUUUUGGUCUGUUUUUCUCAUACUAUAUGCAAUAGGUCUACUAUAUUUGUUGUUUGGAAUGAUUGUAAGGUGUACAUGUCUAGCGGGCAG
rnacentral:lncRNA from 1 species